AUUACAACUUUAUUCUAUUACAAAUUUCUACAAUUACAUUUUUAUUCUAGUACAACUUCCUACUAUUACAACUUUAUUCUAUUACAACUUUCUACUAUUAUAACUUUCUACUAUUACAACAUUCUACUAUUACAACGUUCUACUAUUACAACUUUCUACUAUUACAACUUUGUACUAUUACAACUUUGUACUAUUACAACUUUGUACUAUUACAAAUUUCUUCUAUUACAACUUUGUACUAUUACAACUUUCUACUAUUACAACUAUCUACUAUUACAACUUUCUACUAUUACAACUUUCUACUAUUACAACUUUCUACUAUUACAACUUUCUUCUAUUACAACUUUCUACUUUUACAACUUUCUUCUAUUACAACUUUCUACUAUUACAACUUUAUUAAAUUACAACUAUCUACUAUUACAACUUUCUACUAUUACAACUUUGUACUAUUACAACUUUAUUAUAUUACAACUUUCUAUUAUUACAACUUUCUAUUAUUACAACUUUCUACUAUUACAACUUUCUACUAUUACAACUUUAUUCUAUUACAACUUUCUACUAUUACAACUUUCUACUAUUACAACUUUAUUAAAUUACAACUUUAUUCUACUACAACUUUCUACUAUUACAACAUUCUACUAUUACAACUUUAUUCUAUUACAACUUUCUAUUAUUACAACUUUCUACUAUUACAACUUUCAACUUUUACAACUUUCUACUAUUACAACUUUCUACUAUUACAACUUUAUUAAAUUACAACUAUCUACUAUUACAACUUUCUACUAUUACAACUUUCUACUAUUACAACUUUAUUAUAUUACAACUUUCUAUUAUUACAACUUUCUAUUAUUACAACUUUCUACUAUUACAACUUUCUACUAUUACAACUUUAUUCUAUUACAACUUUCUACUAUUACAACUUUCUACUAUUACAACUUUAUUAAAUUACAACUUUAUUCUAUUACAACUUUCUACUAUUACAACAUUCUACUAUUACAACUUUAUUCUAUUACAACUUUCUAUUAUUACAACUUUCUACUAUUACAACUUUCAACUUUUACAACUUUCUACUAUUACAACUUUCUACUAUUACAACUUUCUUCUAUUACAACUUUCUUCUAUUACAACUUUCUAUUAUUACAACUUUCUACUAUUACAACUUUCUACUAUUACAACUUUAUUAAAUUACAACUUUAUUCUAUUACAACUUUCUACAAUUACAUUUUUAUUCUAGUACAACUUCCUACUAUUACAACUUUAUUCUAUUACAACUUUCUACUAUUAUAA
rnacentral:lncRNA from 8 species